UUAACGCUGGCGGCGUGCCUAACACAUGCAAGUCGAACGAAAUAUCUUCGGAUAUUUAGUGGCGAACGGGUGAGGUAAUGUACAGGUAAUGUACCUUCGUACUGCGAAUAACAAGCUGAAAAGUUUGCUAAUACGGAAUAGUUUCAUUAGGGGGCAUCCUUUGAUGAAUAAAGAUUUAUCGUGCGGAGAUCAGCCUGUAUCCUAUUAGUUAGUUGGUGGGGUAAUGGCCUACCAAGACGACGAUGGGUAACUGGUCUGAGAGGAUGAGCAGUCACAUUGGAACUGAGAUACGGUCCAAACUCCUACGGGAGGCAGCAGUGAGGAAUUUUGCGCAAUGGGGGAAACCCUGACGCCAGCAACGCCGUGUGAGUGAAGACGGCCUUCGGGUUGUAAAGCUCUGUCGUGUAUGACGAGUAGGGACGGUAAUACACAAGGAAGCCUCGGCUAACUACGUGCCAGCCGCUGC
rnacentral:rRNA from 1 species